rnacentral:lncRNA from 1 species
UUUUCAACAACUAUUCUUUCAGCAAGCUAAUGAAUAUGGAGUUAGUAUGGAGUUUCGAAGUGAUUUCACAAAAUAACAUUGUAUUUGUGUUUUAAAAAUGAAGAAUCACGAACCUUAAAUACAAUAGAUAUAAUUAUUUGUGGGACAUAUUUUACAAUAACACUUGGUUGUCUUCGAUCUUCAUAUUGCCGUCUUCGUUGAAGUUUUCAAGCAAUUGGAAUUUAAGAGACAAGCAUUCCAUUUCAUGCUUGAAGACAUUAUGAUAGAAAACCAGGAUGCUUCCUUGCCAAUGAAGAGGCAAGCAACUGAAGGAAAACCAAAAAAAAGGCCACAACAGUUUCAGCAACCAACAAACAGUUAAACUAAAAACAUAUAUAGAGUGGCAGCAGAUACUACAAGCAAUGUAAAGCUAUAAUAUUGAAAGCAAGGAACUAAAUUAUUGAUGGAGAUGACAAGCUCAGUGAUGGAACAGUAUAAAGAUAGAUAUUUUGUUCAAGAAACAAACUCCAGCAGCAUUCUUAUAGAAUAUAUGAAACCAUUAAAUUCUAUUUUGCUUGUUUCACUUUACAAGUCCACAGGUACAAUUGAAGUUGAAGUUACUUAAAUAUAAGCAAACUAACGUAUCAACAAACCGUAUUACAAUUGAAUCAUCCACUGAACCCUUAAAUAUAAUCAAACUAAACUGUGCAGAUAAUUAAAGCAAUCCCAAUUUCUACAUUCCGGAAAUUAAAGCAAUAAAUUGAAGCGGCUAAUACUGAAUCGGUGGGUUAUCAGGUACAUAUGCUUUAGGAUUUUUAAAACUCACUACUUUUAAAACUAAAAUUUAGUACUUCGAAGAAUACUCUGUUCUCCGUCACUUUACAUUACUAAAUUAUGAUCCAUUUGGGAUAGCUAUUAGCCGUUACUACAAGGGGAAAAGCAAUCCCAAUUCGGUUUUCUAGAAUUUUCAAUUCCACAAUCCCAAUUUAACCAUUCCGGAAAUUAAAGCAAUAAAUUGAACCGGCUGAACUUGAAAAGCCGAUUGUGUUGGGUGGAGAGAGAGCAACGCACUGAAAUCACUUUGUUGAGAGACCAACGCCCCCGGAUCUGGGCAAGAGAGAGGCCACGAGAAACACCAAAUUCAGCUGAGAGAGUGAGGGAGAGUGAGGGAGUAGAGACAGAACGGAGAAAGGAGCUGCGUGGUGAGUGACGGAUAACGGAGAAUGGAGCGAUGAGUUUGGAAACGCCUGAGUAGAUUGACGGGGGAGAGAGGAGGUGCGAUAUUUUGCUGGAUUUGGUGUGGGGAUUCGCGUGCGUGUGUUGUUUGGUGCUUUUAAAGCUUUUGUACACACUUGUGUGUGAGUACCAUUUUCCAUGUCCUAAUUAGACGAUGAACUGACGAACUUUGUAACUUUAAUAUUUAGUUUCCUCUAACAUUUUAACUUUAUUUUAUUUAUUUAUGCUUUUUCAAUAAAUAUAUUUUGAUAGAAUACGG